GAGUGAGGGAAGCUACCUGUCAGCAUGAAAUAAAUGUGGGGAGCUGGUGAGGACAGGAUUCAAAACAGGCUCACUCUCUCUGCUAAGACAGACAACACCCACACCCACUAGAGGAGUCUAUACCCAGAGGAACCUAAACUCUGCUGUCUUGGAAAGGAGUCAUGACCAAAGAGAUUGAGACUCUGGGAUUGGUCCUUCAGAACGAGAGUUUCAACUACCAGUGUUACAGUAACCUCAUCAUGGACUCCUGGGCCUACACAGACAGCCUACUCACCUACGACCAGUGCAAGACACCCAAAGAACAGAAAAUGGUUGCAUGCAGCCGAGGCAGCAGUAUGUACAAGCCAGAGAGGACACUGAGUGGCUCCUCCCCCGAGCUGGUCUCCCUGGAGACGCCUACCAACAUCAUCAACUUGUUUCUCCAGCCACCCCCAGGAGGCGCUGGGACCU
rnacentral:lncRNA from 1 species